GCCCAUCAAAGGGUGAUCGGGUACCUUUUGUAGAAUGGUCCGGCGAGUGAAUGUAACUGGCAAGGUUAAGGACUUAAGGUCUGAAGCCGCAGCGAGAGCAAGUCUUAAUAGGGCGUAAGAAGUCAGUUGUAUUCGACCCGAAACCGGGUGACCUACCCAUGUCCAGGUUGAAGUGGAGGUAAAACUCCAUGGAGGACCGAACCGACUCCCGUUGAAAUGGUAGCGGAUGAGGUGUGGGUAGCGGAGAAAUUCCAAUCGAACCCGGAGAUAGCUGGUUCUCUCCGAAAUAGCUUUAGGGCUAGCCUCAUAUUAGAUUACUGGAGGUAAAGCACUGAAUGGGCUAGGGGCCGAGAGGUUACUGAACCCUAUCAAACUAAGAAUGCCGGAUAAUGAUAAUCGGGAGUCAGACAGUGUGAGAUAAGUUUCAUUGUCAAAAGGGAAACAGCCCAGACCCACAGCUAAGGUCCCAAAGUACAGUUAAGUGGUGAAGGAUGUGGAAUUGCAUAGACAACCAGGAUGUUGGCUUAGAAGCAGCCACUCAUUAAAAGAGUGCGUAAUAGCUCACUGGUCGAGUGACCCUGCGCCGAAAAUUUAACGGGGCUAAAUCAUACACCGAAGCUUGGGAUUGACAGAUAUUCUUCAUGUUUUCAGGCAGGAUAGGAAAGAGAGGAAAUCUGAUGGCGCCGAAGAAUGAGGCGGCAUUAAAUUUCUGUUCAAGUUAAAGCAUGAAGAUGUGAAGAAUAUCUGUCGAUGGUAGGAGAGCGUUCUAUGCGGGGAGAAGUCUGAGCGGAAGCGCAGGUGGACUGCAUAGAAGUGAGAAUGCCGGAAUGAGUAGCGCGAAAUAUGUGAGAAUCAUAUUGGCCGAAAGUCUAAGGUUUUUGGAGGAAGGUUCGUCCGCUCCAAGUAAGUCGGGAGCUAAGGCGAGGCCGAAAGGCGUAGUCGAUGCACAUACGGUAGAUAUUCCGUAACCGCCGAAGGAUUAAAGCAAAGGGACACCUGCGAAGCGUGUAACCCGGGCGAUGGUUGCCCCGGGCGUAAGGGACCGAAAUUUAGUAGGGAAGUACAUGUAGAGCAGGGCGAGAAAAGCUUUGUGUAUAUCCAAGGCGCCCGUACCGCAAACCGACACAGGUAGAUAGGAAGAGAAUUCUAAGGCCAACGGGAGAAGGGUAGUUAAGGAACUCGGCAAAUUGACCCCGUAACUUCGGAAUAAGGGGUGCUCACGAGAGUGAGCCGCAGUGAAUAGGUCCAGGCGACUGUUUAUCAAAAACACAGCUCUCUGCUAAAUCGAAAGAUGACGUAUAGGGGGUGACACCUGCCCGGUGCUGGAAGGUUAAGAGGAAGGGUGCAAGCUCUGAAUUGAAGCCCCAGUAAACGGCGGCCGUAACUAUAACGGUCCUAAGGUAGCGAAAUUCCUUGUCGGGUAAGUUCCGACCCGCACGAAAGGCGUAAUGAUUUGAGCGCUGUCUCGACAAUGCACCCGGUGAAAUUGAAAUACCAGUGAAGAUGCUGGUUACCUGCGCCAGGACGGAAAGACCCCAUGGAGCUUUACUCCAGCUUGAUACUGGGAUUCGGUACUGCAUGUACAGGAUAGGUGGGAGACUGAGAACUAUGAACGCCAGUUUGUAGGGAGUCGCUGUUGGGCUCCGGCAUCAUCACGUCACUGACGACCAGUGAUACAUUUUCCUUCAAUAGAAUAUCCAAGGCCUUGGCACCAUUCUCCGCUACAAGUACAUUAAAAUUCCCGGACAACUCAUGCUGUAAAUAAGCGCGAAUAUCCCAAUCAUCCUCAACGAUCAAGAUCGUAUAAUCAUAUUUCUUAUUCAACGUUUCUUGAACUUGGGAUAUAUCCAAAUGCGCUACACCAGAGGACGAUUCCGUCGCAUUCGACAGAAAGACACAAGAUUCAUCAAAAUGAGAUUUACCUUUCGGGAUCUGAACGGUAAACACUGUCCGUUCGCCUUGCUCGCUUUCCACGUGGAUCGAGCCUUUAUGCAUAAGGACAAAUUCCCGUGUCAAAUGCAGUCCGAUACCCGUUCCCGGAGCAUAGCUUUGCCCGCUUGUAAAAAAGCGCUCGAAUACGGAGGCUAGGUUUUCCGGGGGAAUACCCUCUCCAUUAUCUUCCACCGAUAAGACAACCUCCGUCUCCUCCUCCCGCAAACGAAUCGUAAUCUUCCCCUGCUCCGGGGUAAACUUAAAGGCGUUCGAGAGCAAGUUCGUUAAUAUCUUCUCCAUCUUGU
rnacentral:rRNA from 1 species